rnacentral:lncRNA from 1 species
AGGAUUUUUGGAGGGAAAAGCAAUAUUACACAAGAAAACCACAUUUUCUCUUGUUUGUUACCAAAAUAUCUAGAGAAGCCAUAUCCACCUGCCUUUUUGUGGCUAACAGGGGUCUGAGCCCAUAAACUGACUGAGGAACAAAUCUUGUCCGUCGGGGGAGAAAACCAGUCAGCUGGGGGUUAAGUGGAUGGGAGGGUGGAGACGCCUCAGGAAAAACCUGCCAGAGCUGUAAAGGGUCAGAGCUUCAAACGGGAGUGAAAAAGCAGGGGGAAGUUAGAACUGAGCUCUCUUGCUUUCAAAUUCAAAAAUUUUCAGAUUUGCUUCAAACGUAUACUUAAGAACUCUAGGGGCCAGCCCUGUGGCCCGGUGGCCGAGUGGUUAAGUUCACACGCUCCGCUUAGAUGGCCCACGGUUUUGCCAGUUUGGAUCCUGGGCACGGACCUAGCACCACUCGUCAGGCCAUGCUGAGGUGGCGUCCCACAUAGCACAACUAGAAGGACCUACAACGAAGAUAUACAACUACAUACUAGGGGGCUUUGGGGAGAAAAAGAAGAAGAAAAAAAGAGAUUGGCAACAGAUGUUAGCUCAUGGCCAAUCUUAAAAAAAAACACCUCUAAUCCGUAAAAAUCUCCAUCCUUGAACUGGAAGGUAAAUAUUUCAAAACAUGAUAGUCCAGCAAGGAAAGCAGGGACUGGAAAGAGAAAUUAAUGCACAAGGACUUUGUGAUGGAGAAGAUAGGGAGAUGCUUCAGGCGGUCCCCCAACGAGACUGGAAACAGAUCUGCCCCUUGCCCUCACCUGCAGGCAGCGAGACGCCAGCGAAGGGCUGGUUGUGCAGGAGGAAGGGAGCGUUGGCCAUAAGACGGGGGCCCAAGGAAUGGAGAGGAGCCGAGUGGUAAAGGGACAGCCCAGCACCCAGGAAUAGGUUUCAGGAAUUUUAAAAUAAUUUAAGCUGUGAUUUGUUAAUAUCCAGUGGCAUUUGCAUAUGAUUGAAGCUGUUCAUGAAAGAUACCAGAAAUGUUAAUAUUUGAUUACAAAAUCACUCAUGUGGGUCUAUUUCAUGUCAAUUCUCAUAAAUAAGCUUGUAUUUAUCUAUUUACUACUCUCUCUCCCCCAUCCCACCUCAAGAACAGGACACUGGAUCCCUCUUUCUCCUGGAUCAUCUUCUCUCCUGGAUCACCUUCUCUCCUGGAUCACCCUCUCUCCUGGAUCGCCCUCUGUCCUGGAUCACCCUCUCUCCUGGAUCAUCUUCUCUCCUGGAUCACCCACUCUCCUGGAUCACCCUCUCUCCUGGAUCACCUUCUCUCCUGGAUCACCUUCUCUCCUGGAUCACCCUCUCUCCUGGAUCGCCCUCUCUCCUGGAUCACCCUCUCUCCUGGAUCAUCUUCUCUCCUGGAUCACCCACUCUCCUGGAUCACCCUCUCUCCUGGAUCAUCUUCUCUCCUGGAUCACCCUCUCUCCUGGAUCACUCUCUCUCCUGGAUCACCCUCUCUCCUGAAUUACCCUCUCUCCUGGAUCACCCUCUCUCCUGGAU